UAAAGAGAAGGGUUGCUGGUUGAUGCCACUUUCUCUUUACUGCUUGCUGUUGGGUGCUCUGCAGAAGUGGCCGGAGGAGGAGGGCAGGAGCACUUCCGAGGGAUGGCUCUGGUGUCCCUCCCCUGUGAGUGGCAUGUCUCUGCUGAUGGAACUACUGGUUGAUAGUGGAACAUCUACAUUUAAAGCAUCACAGGGUUCUUCUGGAGUGGGAGCCAUGUGUGAUUCAUCUACAUCCCCAGGGU